AAUUUAUGAUGAAAAACUUUUUUUUUUCAGUUCUGCUUCUGAACCUUAUGAAGACAAAACCUAUACCAAAGCUCAAUAUCUGAGAU
rnacentral:snoRNA from 21 species